rnacentral:rRNA from 1 species
CGCGGCCUAUCAGCUUGUUGGUGAGGUAAAGGCUCACCAAGGCAUCGACGGGUAGCUGGUCUGAGAGGACGAUCAGCCACACUGGGACUGAGACACGGCCCAGACUCCUACGGGAGGCAGCAGUAGGGAAUAUUGCACAAUGGGCGAAAGCCUGAUGCAGCAACGCCGCGUGCGGGAAGAAGGCCCUAGGGUUGUAAACCGCUUUCAGCAGGGAAGAAAAUGACGGUACCUGCAGAAGAAGGUGCGGCCAACUACGUGCCAGCAGCCGCGGUGACACGUAGGCACCAAGCGUUGUCCGGAUUUAUUGGGCGUAAAGAGCUCGUAGGCGGUUCAGUUAGUCGGGUGUGAAAACUCUGGGCUCAACCCAGAGACGCCACUCGAUACUGCUGUGACUAGAGUGCGGUAGGGGAGCGGGGAAUUCCUAGUGUAGCGGUGAAAUGCGCAGAUAUUAGGAGGAACACCAGUGGCGAAGGCGCCGCUCUGGGCCGUAACUGACGCUGAGGAGCGAAAGCGUGGGUAGCAAACAGGAUUAGAUACCCUGGUAGUCCACGCCGUAAACGUUGGGCACUAGGUGUGGGUCUCAACCAACGAGAUCCGCGCCGUCGCUAACGCAUUAAGUGCCCCGCCUGGGGAGUACGG